rnacentral:rRNA from 1 species
CUCGAGGCCAGAUCUUUCCGGUUGAUCCUGCCGGACCCGACCGCUAUCGGGGUAGGGCUAAGCCAUGGGAGUCGAACGCCCCGCCGCUGCGGGGCGUGGCGGACGGCUGAGUAACACGUGGCUAACCUACCCUCGGGACGGGGAUAACCCCUCGGGAAACUGGGGCUAAUCCCCGAUAGGCGGGGGGUGCCUGGAAGGGUCCUCCGCCGAAAGGGGCCGCGGGGGGUUAUCGCCCGCGGUCCGCCCGAGGAUGGGGCUGCGGCCCAUCACGGUAGUUGGCGGGGUAAUGGCCCGCCAAGCCUACGACGGGUAGGGGCCGUGAGAGCGGGAGCCCCCAGAUGGGCACUGAGACAAGGGCCCAGGCCCUACGGGGCGCACCAGGCGCGAAAACUCCGCAAUGCGGGCAACCGUGACGGGGCUACCCCGAGUGCCCCCCUUGGGGGGGCUUUUCCCCGCUGUAAGUAGGCGGGGGAAUAAGCGGGGGGCAAGACUGGUGUCAGCCGCCGCGGUAAUACCAGCCCCGCGAGCGGUCGGGGUGUUUACUGGGCCUAAAGCGCCCGUAGCCGGCUCGACAAGUCCCCGCCUAAA